rnacentral:rRNA from 1 species
UACGGAGGAUGCGAGCGUUAUCCGGAUUUAUUGGGUUUAAAGGGUGCGUAGGCGGUAUGGUAAGUCAGCGGUAAAAGCCCGGGGCUCAACCCCGGCGAGCCGUUGAAACUGCCGUGCUAGAGAGGAAGAGAAGUAGGCGGAAUGCGCAGUGUAGCGGUGAAAUGCUUAGAUAUUGCGCAGAACUCCGAUUGCGAAGGCAUCUCACGAAUCCGCUAUUGACGCUGAUGCACGAAAGCGUGGGUAUCAAACAGG